CAGAAUAUAGUUUAAGUAAAAUAUUAAUUUUGGAUAUUAGUGAUAAUAAUUUUUAUUCUGA
rnacentral:tRNA from 1 species